rnacentral:lncRNA from 1 species
GCGCGUAAGCGCUGAUGACGUUGAGAACGCAACCCCCAAUAACCAACUUAAUAGACAUUAACCUAUCAUUCACUCGCCUAACCUCGACCACGGACUCCCUUAGGUCCCUAUCUACCAGAUGCCUACUCCAUUCUUAUCUCUCAUGACCCCAGAAUACCACAACUUAAACCCAUCUAUAUUCCUCUCCUUCGACCCUACGGACUUCCUUAGAUCCCUAUCAACCAAGAUGCCCACUCAUUUCUUACCUUUCACGACCCCAGAAUACCACAGCUUAAACCCGUCUACAUUCCUCGCCUUCGACCCUUUCCACCUAGUCUCCUGGACACUGGCUAUGUUAACCCUCCUCUUCUGAAGAACCUUCGCCAGCUCAAUGGAAUUACCCGUCAGAGUGCCUA